UUAGAGCCUGAUGAUAUUUGAGUGAUCAGAAGAUUUUGAAUUCUUGAAAGUGUAAAGUCAGCAAUCAGAGCUGGAAUGAUGGUGAAUUAACUAGGAUGCAGCAGCCCUGUGAGAUCUGGCCAAAGCAUCAUCUGGGGAGUCUCAGCCAUUUAUUAGAAUUGUGCCAAGUGGCUUAGAACUUCAGUGUGGUAGCACAUUUGAGAUGGGAGAGAUUAGUGUGUAUGGAUUUAAUCAGAGGCAGGGAAUUUUGGUGGCAUUUGAAGGAGGAGUAGAAUUGGACUAGGUAGAGAUAAGAAUUGUGUUUUACUGGAUAGAGGCGCAGCACAAACAAAGAUAGUAAGAGAAAGAUCAUAGGAAAAUAUUUUGGAAGAGGAGACUACUGUAUUACAAACCACAAGAUGGGGAUUAGUCAAAUCAGCUUAGAUAAAUAAGAUGGAGAAGAUCUAGAUUGGGAGAAAGAGGUGGGGAGAAAAAGGAAGCAAGAGGUGGAAAAUAGGGAACUACAUCAUGUUCUUGGAACGGAGACUAGCACGCUUAAUGGGCUGUUUGGCGAUGAUCAUUCUUAUUGGCAGGGUGAGUAAUGGUGGGGCAAGAAGAUCAGGCUGGGAAGUGUUUAGCUGAUGGUGAUGAAGGCUCCAGUUGUGGGAUGAGUGUAGGAAUGGAGAAAAAGGAGUCUUUUAAAUAAAGAGAUAUAUUGAUAGACUGGAUUCAGAGCGUUGAGGCAAAGAGGAAAUUUAUUUUAUUUUUUUAUUCAUUUAUGACAGUCACAGAGAGAGAGGCAGAGACAUAGGCAGAGGGAGAAGCAGGCUCCAUGCACCGGGAGCCCGACGUGGGAUUCGAUCCCAGGACUCCAGGAUCGCACCCUGGGCCAAAGGCAGGCGCUAAACCGCUGUGCCACCCAGGGAUCCCGGCAAAGAGGAAAUUUAAAGAUGACUUCAAGUUUCCUAGUCUCGGAGUUCACAGGAAAAGAAAGUAGAUGAAAGGUCUCAGCGUCCCCUUUAUGCCUACCUGAGAGUGGGAAGAAGCCCUUUAUGCAGAAUCUCUGGGGCAAUGAGCUCCUAAUCACCUCUAGUGGGAGGACAGAAGGAGCAAAAAAAUAUUUCCAGGGUAAGUUCCUACAUUCUCUGGUCUCACAGAUGUAGUUCAAAAGUGCUGAAUUUGGAGUCAAAAGAUGAAUUAUUAU
rnacentral:lncRNA from 1 species